rnacentral:tRNA from 1 species
UACCCGGUGGUGUAAUGGUAACACUACAGAUUUUGGCUCUGUCAUUCUAGGUUCGAGUCCUAGCCGGGUAA